rnacentral:rRNA from 1 species
ACGCUGAGCUCGAAAGUAUGGGUAGCAAACAGGAUUAGAUACCUGGUAGUCCAUACCGUAAACGAUGAAUGCUAAGUGUGGAGGGUUUCCGCCUUCAGUGCUGCAGCUAACGCAUUAAGCAUUCCGCCUGGGGAGUACGGCCGCAAGGCUGAAACUCAAAGGAAUUGACGGGGGCCCGCACAAGCGGUGGAGCAUGUGGUUUAAUUCGAAGCUACGCGAAGAACCUUACCAGGUCUUGACAUACUAUGCAAAUCUAAGAGAUUAGACGUUCCCUUCGGGGACAUGGAUACAGGUGGUGCAUGGUUGUCGUCAGCUCGUGUCGUGAGAUGUUGGGUUAAGUCCCGCAACGAGCGCAACCCUUAUUAUCAGUUGCCAGCAUUAAGUUGGGCACUCUGGUGAGACUGCCGGUGACAAACCGGAGGAAGGUGGGGAUGACGUCAAAUCAUCAUGCCCCUUAUGACCUGGGCUACACACGUGCUACAAUGGAUGGUACAACGAGUUGCGAACUCGCGAGAGCAAGCUAAUCUCUUAAAGCCAUUCUCAGUUCGGAUUGUAGGCUGCAACUCGCCUACAUGAAGUCGGAAUCGCUAGUAAUCGCGGAUCAGCAUGCCGCGGUGAAUACGUUCCCGGGCCUUGUACACACCGCCCGUCACACCAUGAGAGUUUGUAACACCCAAAGUCGGUGGGGUAACCUUUAGGAACCAGCCGCCUAAGGUGGGACAGAUGAUUAGGGUGAAGUCGUAACAAGGUAACCA